rnacentral:rRNA from 1 species
GACGGGGGGGGCAAGCGUUAUUCAUCUUUAUUAGGCGUAAAGGGUGCGUAGAUGGGUUGAACAGUCGCGUUAAAAAAAACAAAAAAAAUUUUGUUAUUAAUUGCGCUUGUAAAUCUCGAGUAAAAAAGGCGUUAAUAGAAUUUUAUGUGUAAUGAUUAAAUGUGACUAGAUGUAAAGGAAUUCCAGAAGCGAAAGCGAUUUUCGAUUUUUUACUGACGUUGAGGCACGAAAGCAUUGGGAUCAAACGGG